UACAGAGGGUGCAAGCGUUGUUCGGAAUUAUUGGGCGUAAAGCGCGUGUAGGCGGCAGUGCAAGUCGGGUGUGAAAGCCCUCAGCUCAACUGAGGAAGUGCGCUCGAAACUGCAUUGCUUGAGUACCGGAGAGGAUGGCGGAAUUCCCGAAGUAGAGGUGAAAUUCGUAGAUAUCGGGAGGAACACCGGUGGCGAAGGCGGCGACCUGGGUCGAUACUGACGCUGAGGUGCGAAAGCGUGGGGAGCAAACAGG
rnacentral:rRNA from 1 species